GAGGCGCCGGGCGGAGCGGCUCCGGGCCGAAACGCCAUGCGGAGGGGCGAGCGCAGGGACGCCGGGGGUCCGCGGCCCGAGUCCCCGGUGCCCGCGGGCAAGGCCUCGCUGGAGGAGCCGCCUGACGGGCCGUCUGCCGGCCAAGCCACCGGGCCGGGCGAGGGCCGCCGCAGCACCGAGUCCGAGGUCUACGACGACGGCACCAACACCUUCUUCUGGGCACAAAUAGUUUACGUUUCAUGGAGGCAAGUCCUGGGCAACAUGCUUUAAGUGCAUUGUUCACUUAAUUUUCAUGAUGUCCUUGGAAGUCAGAAGCUUCCCCAUUUAGAUAUGAGGAAACUGAGGCACGGAGGGGUGCAUCAUCUCUCCAAGGACACACUCCGGUGGAUGUAGGAACUGGGUUAGACAUGAGGACACACUCUGGUGGAUGUAGGACCU
rnacentral:sRNA from 1 species